CUGGGUUUUCUUGAGUGUAGAUGAAGUAGGCGGAAUUUGUGGUGUAGCGGUGAAAUGCAUAGAUAUCACGAGGAACUCCGAUUGCGCAGGCAGCUUACUAAGCUACAACUGACGCUCAGGCACGAAGGCGUCGGGGAUCAAACAGGAUUAGAUACCCUGGUAGUCCACGCAGUAAACGAUGAUUACUCGCUGUUUGCGAUAUACAGUAAGCGGCUUAGCGAAAGCGUUAAGUAAUCCACCUCGGGGAGUACGUUCGCAAGAAUGAAACUCAAAGGAAUUGACGGGGGCCCGCACAAGCGGAGGAACAUGUCGGGUUUAAUUCGAUGAUACGCGAGGAACCUUAACCCGGGCUUGAAAUGCAUCUGACAGGGGCGGAGACGCCCUCUCCCUUCGGGGCAGAUGUGUAGGUGCUGCAUGGUUGUCGUCAGCUCGUGCCGUGAGGUGUCGGCUUAAGUGCCAUAACGAGCGCAACCCUCAUCAUUAGUUACCAUCAGGUGAAGCUGGGGACUCUAGUGAGACUGCCAUCGUAAGAUGCGAGGAAGGUGGGGAUGACGUCAAAUCAGCACGGCCCUUACGUCCGGGGCGACACACGUGUUACAAUGGGUGGUACAAAGGGCAGCUACAUGGCGACAUGAUGCUAAUCUCCAAAACCGCU
rnacentral:rRNA from 1 species